GGUCGCUGGAAAUUCUUAACAGUGCUGCCUCCUCCAGGGAUCACAACAGGCUUGAUCACACUGGCCACCCGCUUUGUCAUCAGUACCAUCCUUCCUUAUGUUUCAUAAUACUUCUCAUCAGAGGGGCUCCAGCAGCUGCGAGAAGGCAUCCCAUCACCGAUGUUCCAAGAUAUCCUGGCUUACAAAGCUCUCCAUGUGCUGUUUGGCAUCAAAAACAUUCUGCCUCCUUUUCUUUUUUUCUUUCAUACUCCACUAUGGAAUAUGGAAUGUUUUCUUUCUGUGAGGAUAGAGCAAGGACUGGCUUCUUGACAUAGGAAAUUGACUAUAAACAAGAAAAACAUCUGCUGAAGUCAUGAGGUGCUAUUUUUCAGUAUUCAGGAUCAAGGAACCCUAAAGCUAUAACAAUUCUAUAAUUCUAUAAUGUUAAAGAUUUCUCCUUAACAGAUGGUAGUCAUUACAAGUUACUGCAGGGCAUAACUCUUCAAAGGCUAAGAUGAAAAUUUGUCCCAUGCAAAAAAGAGAAGAGAUUUGAUGAAGAAAAGGCAGGGUCAAGUGAUUUUUAAAUCGUGUUAGAAUUCUCCAACUCUUUUGAAAGUUCUAUUUUCUCAUAAUUAGUUUUAGAAAGGUGACUUAGUCAUAAAUUUUACAUCAUAAAAAUCACUGGGCUUCAGAAAUGUAAUAGCUACAUGUCUUUACUGAAUUCAAAAUAAUCCCAUAACUCUUGUCAAAUGCUUUUAGAAUUUAUUAUCACUAAAAGGAUAAUGGUUUAUGCUAUUUCUGUAUACAAAAUGCUUCAAAUUAAAUAUAUCAUGUAGUGACAUGGUCCAAAACAAUUGUCAGUGUCAUGCACAUAUUGGGCUCAUUAAUUCAUUUGUUCAUUAAUUCAUUCCUUCUACAAGUAUAUAUUGAGCAUCUUUUAUAAUCCCAGGCAUUGUUCUAGGUGCUGAAGAUACGAUUAUGAACAAAAGAAACAAAAGUCUCUUUUUUCAUAGAGCAUACCACCACUCUGGAAACACAUGCAUACAGACACACACAGACACACAUGCUAGUGUUAAAUGAAGGAAUAAGAUACUUUUGGAGUUGCACAGUGUGGUAAACAGACUUUAAGGUGGCUCCAAAGAUUCCUACCUCCUGGUAUUCAUGCCUUUGUGUAAUCUUCUCCCCUUGAGUGUGGGCAGGACCUGUGGCUUUCUUUUAAGCAAUCUAAUGUAACAAAGAUAAUGGAAUGUAGGUGAUCCUAUGUCCUUAUUAGAAUCUCCCUCCCUCUUUCCCUCUCUCUUUUUCUCUCUCUCUCUGUCUGUUGUUCAAUCUCAUUUUCUAUCUCUCUCUCUCUCUGGCUUUGAAGAGGCAAGCUGUCAUGAAUCUUAUAGCCUCAGGAGAAAGAAUGCUGCCAAUGACCUAAGGGAACUUGGGAGCUUAUCCUUCCCCAGUUGAGCCUCUGAUGAGAACUCAGUCCUGGUUGACACCUUGAUUGCAGCUUUGUGAGACACUAAGCAAAGGACCCAGGUAAGCCAUACAUAGAUUUCUGACCCACAGAAACUGUGAGAUAAUAAAUACCUAUUGUUGUAAGUUGCAAAGUUUGUAGUUGGUUAUAUGGCAGAGAAAAAUAUUAGAAACAGAAUUGUCGUCAUGCUUUUGGGCCAUAGAGAUAACUAACCCUCUAAAAUAAAACACCUCAAAGGAAUUUCUAGAUAAUUAGGCUAUGUCUUCUGUGAAGGAAUAUUUUUAAGAGUAUUACAUCAUUGGGUCAAAUAUUAUUUUGUGUUAACAUAUUUAGCACACAAGUACUUAUGGCCUGUACUAAUCUGAUGGACUGGGCCAACCAUAUAGGACCAGCCUUGUCUUUACCAAAUGGACUAAUUUAUAAACAAGCCCAUGCUAGUCCCAUUUUUGCUCGCAUACAAUAAACCAGGACAAUGGGCUCACUUAAAUGACUUAAGUAUAAUUGUGCUUAAUCUGUGUAGACCAAUUUACCAAGAACUUUUACUAAACUUAUAUCAUGUAACCUCAUACUAAGUCAGUGAGAGGAGAAUUUUCCUCAGCUUUUCAAGGAAACUGAGGCUGAGAGAAGUAACAAACUGCAUAGUUAAUAAGUGACAGGUGUGACUGAAGCCACCAAAUGUCAUCAGAAAAUAAUGCAUGGCUCAUUUCAUUCCACCAUGGCUAUGACAGGUACCUGUAUAGGAAAUUAACUGCUCUGUGCUUGCAGUUUGCCCUGAGCCAACUGAGCCUAUCAGAGCAGACUCUGAGCUGAAGCAGCUCCCUCCUCACUUUUUUACAGGAAAUGUAAGCCAGCAUCAAUACUUUCUUUUCCAUCAGAAACAGCUAUAAGCAGCAUCCGAACAAAAGGGAAUGAACAAAACGGAAUAUAUUCUCCUUAGAGUAACUAAGAUAGUAAAAAACAUUAGCUAUAUUAGAGGCACUGUGCCAGGUACUGGGAAUAGAAAAACGGGUAAGAACUCGCCUCUCCUCCUUCCACCACCAUCACUAAGAGCUAUUAGUGUGGGAGACAGAACUUACAUCAUUUCAGCUUGAUCCGUUCAGUCCUGAGAGAGGGGUCUGACUGCAAGACCACUAUGGUACCGCAGUGGACCAAUGGCUCUACCCUUGGCUUUCAGAGAAGUUUUCUGAGAGGAGAAGGAGCCUUAAUGGAGGUCUGCAAAGCCAAGUAAAGUUUUAAUUAUGUGUUCCAAGCAAAGGAAAUUAGUAGGCAACUUAGAGAAGCAAAAAGCAACUUGCAAUGUACAGGAACUCUCAGCAGUUGAGUGUGAAUAAUAAAUGAAGCAUAGGGCAUGAAGUAGCCAGAGAGUCAGCAAUAAAAUUUAUAGAUUAAAUUGCAUGUGUGCCUACUAUAUGGAAGACUGGUAAGAACCUUAAAGACAAUCAUUUAAUUCUAACAACUGAGGUAAGCACCGUUAGGAUCCUCAUUUUCCGGAUGAAGAAAAUGAGGCUCAGAAAGGCAAGUAACUCAUACAAGUUCUCACAGCUAACAGCUGUCUGAGUUGACAUUUGAACUUCAGGGUCUCAGAAAACGAUACCCCAAAAUGAAGUCCUCAGAAGCAUCUUUCUUGCUUCUCUUACCCUCUUGCUCUGGCCUUCAUUUUCCCCUGAAGUAGCCAUAGAAACUAGAAUUCCUCUUCCCUAAGCUGGGCCAUAGAAGUCAGAACCCCUUUUCCCCAGAACCAGCCAUAAAACCUAAAAUUAUUACUCUAAUUCCCCACCACCACCCACCUCUUCCUUUGUGUGUAAAAACUGUCUAUAAAGAAAUUAUCUGAUUCUACCCCCUUUAUCAUUUUUUAUUGCAUCUAUUUGAUUCUUCUCUCUUUUCUUCUUUAUUAGUCUUGCUAG
rnacentral:lncRNA from 1 species